rnacentral:lncRNA from 1 species
AUAGAUAGUCUUGGCUUGUUCGAGUUUGCCAUGACUCGAUGUCUCACACUCUUGAACCUAUCAUUUGUCAGAGCCUGCAUUUCAAAAACACAAGGUCAGCAAACGAAUCUAAUUUAUGGAUAUCUAAUAAUGUUUAAGUUCGUUUUUCUGGAGUAAUUACCUGAAAUGUAUCACCAACAAGCACACAGAAUUCACUAGGAUUCGGAGGAACAGAGCUCCAGAGUCCAUCACAUGAACAAAUCUGAAGCCCCCCAACAUCAUUAGAUCGCAAAAUUGUCAGAAUCUGAGGGUCUGAAU